UACGGAGGGAGCUAGCGUUGUUCGGAAUUACUGGGCGUAAAGCGCACGUAGGCGGCGAUUCAAGUCAGAGGUGAAAGCCCGGGGCUCAACCCCGGAACUGCCUUUGAAACUAGAUUGCUAGAAUCUUGGAGAGGCGAGUGGAAUUCCGAGUGUAGAGGUGAAAUUCGUAGAUAUUCGGAAGAACACCAGUGGCGAAGGCGACUUACUGGACACAUAUUGACGCUGAGGUGCGAAAGCGUGGGGAGCAAACAGG
rnacentral:rRNA from 1 species